CGGUGUGCUUAACACAUGCAAGUCGUGCGACGAACCAGACUUCGGUCUGGGGCAAAGCGGCGAACGGGUGAGUAACACGUGGGUAAUCUGCCCCGAUGACUGGGACAACCCGAGGAAACUCGGGCUAAUACCGGAUGUGGUGCCUGGACUCAAGUCCGGUCACUAAAGGUAGCUUCGGCUUCCGCAUUGGGAGGGGCCCGCGGCCAUUAGCUUGUUGGUGGGGUCAAAGGCCUACCAAGGCAACGAUGGGUAGCUGGUCUGAGAGGACGAUCAGCCACACUGGGACUGAGACACGGCCCAGACUCCUACGGAGGCAGCAGUGGGGAACCUUGCGCAAUGCGCGAAAGCGUGACGCAGCAACACCGCGUGAGGGAAGACGGCCUUAGGGUUGUAAACCUCUUUCAGAUGGGACGAAGGUGAUGCGGUGAAUAGCCGAUGUCAUUGACGGUACCGUCAGAAGAAGCUCCGGCUAACUACGUG
rnacentral:rRNA from 1 species